AGUCAUAACCAGACAGGGAGUUUUGUAAUGUUUGGUGGCAUUGACAGCUCCUACUUUACUGGGAAUCUCAACUGGGUGCCCGUUACUGCUGACUACUAUUGGCAGAUCACUCUGGACAGUAUCACCAUCAAUGGUCAACCCAUUGCUUGUUCUGGUGGCUGCCAAGCUAUUGUUGACACUGGUACCUCCCUCAUAGCAGGUCCCCCCCAGGGCAUCUCUACCAUUCAGAACUACAUUGGGGGUAGCCAAAGACUCCAGUGGUGAGUAUAUAGUCAACUGCAAUGUUAUCAACAGUCUGCCUGAUAUCGUCUUCACCCUCAAUGGCAUUGAAUAUCCUCUGCCUGCCAGUGCCUACAUUCGCCAGACCCAAAGUUAUUGCUUUAGUGGCUUCGAGGAUAUUCCCUUCGCCAAUAGUCCACUUUGGAUCCUUGGUGAUGUCUU